rnacentral:rRNA from 1 species
UACGUAGGGGGCUAGCGUUGUCCGGAUUUAUUGGGCGUAAAGAGCGUGUAGGCGGCCAUGUAGGUCCGGUGUGAAAACUCGAGGCUUAACCUCGAGAUGUCAUCGGAAACCAUUUGGCUAGAGUCCGGAAGAGGAGAGUGGAAUUCCUGGUGUAGCGGUGAAAUGCGCAGAUAUCAGGAAGAACACCAAUGGCGAAAGCAGCUCUCUGGGACGGUACUGACGCUGAGGAGCGAAAGUGUGGGGAGCGAACAGG